rnacentral:rRNA from 1 species
AUGAACGCUAGCGAUAGGCUUAACACAUGCCGGUCGAGGGGCAGCAUGGUCUUAGCUUGCUAAGACUGAUGGCGACCGGCGCACGGGUGCGUAACGCGUAUGCAACUUGCCUCACAGAGGGGGAUAACCCGUCGAAAGACGGACUAAUACCGCGUACACUUGGGAUAGGGCAUCCUGACCCAAGGAAAUGAAAUUCGCUGUGAGAUAGGCAUGCGUCCCAUUAGCUAGUUGGUGAGGUAACGGCUCACCAAGGCGACGAUGGGUAGGGGAACUGAGAGGUUGAACCCCCACACUGGUACUGAGACACGGACCAGACUCCUACGGGAGGCAGCAGUGAGGAAUAUUGGUCAAUGGGCGAGAGCCUGAACCAGCCAAGUCGCGUGAAGGAUGACUGUCUUAUGGAUUGUAAACUUCUUUUAUACGGGAAUAACAAGAGUCACGUGUGGCUCCCUGCAUGUACCGUAUGAAUAAGCAUCGGCUAACUCCGUG